rnacentral:lncRNA from 1 species
AUGCUGAGCCCUGCGAAAGUGGAAGCGAUUGUCCACCAGAAUCUGAAAACCCUGAAUCACUUGGGUGAGUGGGGUUCAGAGCUGAGACUUCACCGUUCAUCAGCAAUGGGACUCGAGAGACUCCAGAAGUGUGGCCAGAUGUUUGAGGAGCUGACUAACUCACUCUAGCUGGUGGCCUGGCCACAGGGACCUGAAGAACCAGUAUGGACUGGCGAGAA